CUUUGAACGCAUCUUGCGCUCUCUGGUAUUCCGGAGAGCAUGUCUGUUUGAGUGUCAUGAACUCUUCAACCCUCCAAUUUCUAGUAGAUUGCGAGGAGUUUGGAUUUUGAGCGUUUUGCUAAUCUUUAGAUUAGCUCGUUCGUAAUGCAUUAGCCUCUCGAAUUCGAUUUCGGAUUGACUCAGUGUAAUAGACUAUUCGCUGAGGACACUUUUUACUAAGUGGCCGAAUGAGAAACUGUUUAGAAGCUUCUAAAGCAAGUUUGAUUAGUCAAAUCUUCAAUUUAGACCUCAGAUCAGGCAGGAUUACCCGCUGAACUUAAGCAUAUCAAUAAGCGGAGGAAAAGAAACUAACAAGGAUUCCCCUAGUAACGGCGAGUGAAGCGGGAAGAGCUCAAAUUUGUAAUCUGGCACUUUCAGUGUCCGAGUUGUAAUCUCGAGAAGUGUUUUCCGCGCUAGACUGCAUACAAGUCUGUUGGAAUACAGCGUCAUAGUGGUGAGAACCCCGUACCUGAUGCAGAUGCCUAGUGCUUUGUGAUACACUUUCGAAGAGUCGAGUUGUUUGGGAAUGCAGCUCAAAUUGGGUGGUAAAUUCCAUCUAAAGCUAAAUAUUGGCGAGAGACCGAUAGCGAACAAGUACCGUGAGGGAAAGAUGAAAAGCACUUUGGAAAGAGAGUUAACAGUACGUGAAAUUGUUGGAAGGGAAACGCUUGAAGUCAGACUUGCUAUCUGGAAUUCAGCCGCAAGGCGUAUUUUUCAGUUCGCAGGCCAGCAUCAGUUUUUGGGGGUGGAAAAGGGUAAUUGGAAUGUGGCAACUCCGGUUGUGUUAUAGCCUUUUACUGGAUUCACCUUUGGGGACUGAGGAACGCAGUGUGCUUUUUGCAAGGCCCUCGGGCUUAUCACACUUAGGAUGCUGGUGGAAUGGCUUUAAACGACCCGUCUUGAAACACGGACCAAGGAGUCUAACAUGCUUGCGAGUAUUUGGGUGUCAAACCCGGAUGCGCAAUGAAAGUGAAUGGAGGUGGGAAGCGCAAGCUGCACCAUCGACCGAUCUGGAUUUUUUAAGAUGGAUUUGAGUAAGAGCAAUUAUGUUGGGACCCGAAAGAUAGUGAACUAUGCCUGAAUAGGGCGAAGCCAGAGGAAACUCUGGUGGAGGCUCGUAGCGGUUCUGACGUGCAAAUCGAUCGUCAAAUUUGGGUAUAGGGGCGAAAGACUAAUCGAACUAUCUAGUAGCUGGUUCCUGCCGAAGUUUCCCUCAGGAUAGCAGAAACUCACAUCAGUUCUAUGAGGUAAAGCGAAUGAUUAGAGGCCUUGGGGUUGAAACAACCUUAACCUAUUCUCAAACUUUAAAUAUGUAGGAAGUCCUUGCUACUUA
rnacentral:rRNA from 1 species